rnacentral:rRNA from 1 species
GAUGAACGCUGGCGGCGUGCUUAACACAUGCAAGUCGAACGGAAAGGCUCCUGCUUGCAGGGGUACUCGAGUGGCGAACGGGUGAGUAACACGUGGGUGAUCUGCCCUGCACUUCGGGAUAAGCCUGGGAAACUGGGUCUAAUACCGGAUAGGACGAUGGUUUGGAUGCCAUUGUGGAAAGUUUUUUCGGUGUGGGAUGAGCUCGCGGCCUAUCAGCUUGUUGGUGGGGUAAUGGCCUACCAAGGCGUCGACGGGUAGCCGGCCUGAGAGGGUGUACGGCCACAUUGGGACUGAGAUACGGCCCAGACUACUACGGGAGGCAGCAGUGGGGAAUAUUGCACAAUGGGCGCAAGCCUGAUGCAGCGACGCCGCGUGGGGGAUGACGGCCUUCGGGUUGUAAACUCCUUUCGCUAGGGACGAAGCGCAAGUGACGGCACCUGGAGAAGAAGCACCGGCUAACUACGUG